rnacentral:rRNA from 1 species
GGCUGCAGUAUAUUAACUGUGCAAAGGUAGCAUAAUCAUUAGUUUUUUAAUUGAAAGCUGGUAUGAAUGGUUGGACGAAAUAUUAACUGUUUCAUAAAAAUUUAAUAUAAAAUUUUAUUUUUUAGUUAAAAAGCUAAAAUUUAUUUAAUAGACGAGAAGACCCUAUAAAUCUUUAUAUUAUUAUAAUUAUAAUAAAUUUUUAUAAAUUUUUAUUUAUUAUAUUAUAAAAUAUUUUAUUGGGGUGAUAUAAAAAUUUAAUAAACUUUUUAUAAUUUAUUACAUUAAUUUAUGUAUAAUUGAUCCAUUAAUAAUGAUUAAAAAUUUAAGUUACUUUAGGGAUAACAGCGUAAUUUUUUUGGAGAGUUCAUAUUAAUAAAAAAGAUUGCGACCUCGAUGUUGGAUU